rnacentral:rRNA from 1 species
UUUUAUUUGAGUUUGAUGAUGGCUCUGAGUGAACGCUAUGUAAAUGCUUGACACAUGCUAAUCGAACGUCAAUAUUUAAUUUGUAUAAAUUAUGUAUAUUGAAGUGGUGUACAGGUGAGUAAGAGGUAUUAUGGCUACCUAAGAGUAAGGCAAAAUAAAUCCCUUAUAAUAACCAUUUAUUAUUAGUGAUUAACACUAUAUCUAAUCACCCAGUGGUCGAUUAUAUUGAAAAGUUUAGAUAUAAAGGUUAAUAAUAUUAAUAAUAAAUGUGUUUAAAAGAAAUAGUAUUUCGCUCUUAGUUGAUUAUUAAUAACCAUCGGAUAAGUAGUAAGUAUGGUAAUGGCAUAUUUAGCUUGUGUCCGUAGUCAAGACUGAGAGGUCUAUUGACCACACUGGGUCUGAAAAAACCCCAGUGCGUGUAGUACAGCAGUGAGGAAUUUUGGUCAAUGGCCUAACGGCUGAACCAGCAACUUGCAGGAAUGAGAGUUAAUAUAAUAAGUUUAUUAACUUGCUUGACUAGGUCUUAUAAAGUUCUGGAUAAAGCUUAUUAUGAAAACUUUAUAUCCAUAGGUCUCGACCAAAUCUUGUGCCAGCAGUCGCGGUAAGACAAGGGAGACGAGUGUUAUUCAUCUUUAACAGGUAUAUAGGGUACCUAGACGGUGUGCAAUGGCUUAAAUAAGUACCUGGUACACUUGAGUUUGAUAUGUGAGAGGAAUAUGUCGGAAUUGUUGGAGGAAAGAUGAAAUUUGUUAAUACCAAUAGGACUGAUAACGGCGAAGGCAAACCUCUAUGUACAUGUACUUGCUAUCUCUAAAUUAGAGAGGAAAACAGCAAUGUGCUAUAACUGACGUUGAGGGACGAAGGCUCAGAGAGUGAAGAGGAUUAGAUACCCCCGUAACCUGGGCAGACAAUGAUGAGUGCCAUAGGUUGGCUUUAAGGCGGAACUAUAAAUGAAAGUGGAAGCACUCCACCUCAAGAGUAAUGUGGCAACGCAGGAACUGAAAUCAUUAGACCGUUUCUGAAACCAGUAGUGAAGUAUGUUAUUUAAUUCGAUGAUCCGCGAAUAACCUUACCACAAUUUGAAUGACCUAAAAUAUUUUUUUUUGAAUUUUUAGACCACAUGCGUUGCAUGGCUGUCUUCAGUUAAUGUCGUGAGAUUUGGUUAGGUCCAUUAAAUUAACGUAAACCCUUGUUUUAUUUAUUAUAAUAAAGCAGCUCUCCGCUUACAAUUGGAUGUGAUAAUAGGGACUAAGACAAGUCAUCAUGGCCUUAAUAUUGUGGGCUAUAGACGUGCCACAUGUGCCUUUACAAAGGGAUGCAAUAAUGCGAAUUGGAGCUAAUCCCUAAAAUAGGAUAAAGUAUGGAUUGUAGUCUGAAAUUCGACUGCAUGAAAAAGGAAUUACUAGUAAUCGUGAGUAAUCACAUCACGGUGAAUUUUAUCUCAGAUAGGUACUAACCACUCGUCAGGCGCUGAAAGGAGUAUGUGCAAUAAGUUUGGUGGCUGCGGAUUGCUAGUCUAAAUGUACAGGUUUAGAUCUUUUGGCAGAAAUAUCUUCGUAUGCGUGACUCUAAUUGGUGUUAAGUCGAAAUACGGUUCGGGUUGGGGAACUAGCCCGGGAUUAAUGAAUAUU